GUCACUUUUAAGGAUUCGGAAAAACAGGAGGCUUCUUCUCAAAGGACUGGAGGGCCGAAUCGUCGCUUCGUCGAAAUCAUCUGUUGGAAUCCCGUAAUUCGUCGGAAUGAUACACGACCGGCUACUGCACCCUCCGUUGCGUUACUCAAGGUGAAGCACGUAAGUGUGGUGGUAUAGUGGAAUAAAUGAGAAAUACUCUUUUUGGAGACUGUACCCGCACGCUAUUAUCUCCUAGCGGUGUUUCAGAAGAAACAUAGGCGUCGCCUUUGACAAUGCGAUGAAUGAACUUGAACGAAAAGCACUUUGUCGUGUAUACAUGACACGCAGCGGCGAUCUUUCUGUAUCCUGUUAAGCGAAGAAACCACAUUUUUUAAACAACACUUGGCAGAAUUAUUUGAUACGUCAAAUUUUUAAUAUUCUCACUCUACUCUUUCAUCCCUGGCAUAUUUACCUCCCACGAAGAGAAAUAAUUGUUUACUUCAAGCAUAGUAAAAGAUUAUGUUUGCGGAAAACUUGCUCGACUUCUUACCGCACAGUAACAACGCAGAAGAAAUUGGAAUAUAUUCGCUAAAAGAAAAGAUAAUAAAUAAUUAAGGGUUAAAAAUUUCACAAAAUUAUUAAAUAAAUCAUUUUCGUAGCAUUUUUGCCUCGCUCCUUCACCCGUGAAACUUUUGCAUUCAUAGUAAUUUCACUUCUCGAUUACUAUGGAUAAUCGAGGCACUACUGUACGCAGAGCGCGAAAGUACAGUAAGUCCAAGAAGAAGGAAACGUGGUCGACGCGAUGUCCUCCCCAAAUGUCUACGCCAUUGGCUCGGCAAGUACCCCCUUGCUCUCCCUGUGCGGAAAGUCUCUACCCACCAUGCCACGCUAUGCCGUGCUGUGCUACGGUUUGCCGUGCCAUCCUCAACCGCGUAGCGUGGCUAGUUGUUUCUUUUCUUUAUUCCUUUGUCGGAAAGUCGGUGGCGAGUCUCGUUUUUAAGAGAAGAGUAGAGGGGAGGAGGCAAAAGGAAAACGACAACCGCUCAGCAGGGGCUGAGGAAGGAAUGGUCGGGUCCGUGGCAGAGCAAAGGGAGGGAGGGCCACGGCAGCAAAGAGAAUAAAACUUAAAGUCUUCCUAUCGUCCGGAGUGCCCCGAUUGCUCAGGCGGACGCGACACGCGGCCUUUACAUACUCUCCACGCAUGAUGCAUCAUAUCUUCCUUCGAUACAUAACAAAAUCGAAGUUGGAUGCUCCACGUGAAAAAGAGAUAUUAAUAAGAAAAUUUUAAAUACAAUCCUAUUUUAUCGAGACAACACAAA